CCCGUGAUAGCUCAGUUGGUAGAGCGGAGGACUGUAGUGGUCACGUGCAAGCGAUCCUUAGGUCGGUGGUUCGAAUCCGCCUCGCGGGA
rnacentral:tRNA from 1 species